rnacentral:rRNA from 1 species
GAUGAACGCUGGCGGCGUGCCUAACACAUGCAAGUCGAACGAAGCACUUUAUUCGAUUUUCUUCGGAGAUGAAGAUUUAGUGACUGAGUGGCGGACGGGUGAGUAACGCGUGGAUAACCUGCCUCACACUGGGGGAUAACAGUUAGAAAUGACUGCUAAUACCGCAUAAGCGCACAGUACCGCAUGGUACGGUGUGAAAAACUCCGGUGGUGUGAGAUGGAUCCGCGUUUGAUUAGCCAGUUGGCGGGGUAACGGCCCACCAAAGCGACGAUCAAUAGCCGACCUGAGAGGGUGACCGGCCACAUUGGGACUGAGACACGGCCCAAACUCCUACGGGAGGCAGCAGUGGGGAAUAUUGCGCAAUGGGGAAACCCUGACGCAGCGACGCCGCGUGAGCGAUGAAGUAUUUCGGUAUGUAAAGCUCUAUCAGCAGGGAAGAAUAAAUGACGGUACCUGACUAAGAAUCCCCGGCUAACUACGUGCCAGCAGCCGCAGUAA